rnacentral:lncRNA from 1 species
CUGGAACAUCUGAUUACUUUAAGCAUCCCUCUGCUAAUGUACAAUUAUAGGUUCCUUCUUGAAGUCCCUGCUAAAUACACAUGUCCAUAGAAUGACUCACUGUUUGACCCUUGGCUGUCCCGUACCUGCUGGAUGGCAGUGGACCGAAGGCUGCAGAGGCUCGUUAGAGGUUGCUGAUAUCACCCAGGAGUUUCCUGUUUCACCUGCCUGCUAUCCGAUCCCGCUGAAUGCUUCUUGCCUGCCCCAGCCAUGUCUGAAGCUGGAGGGUCUCUGGAGGAUGUCAGCUUGGGCUGUCCCUGCAGCCCUCCCACCCCAGAGCACUUCCAAAGGGAUGUGAAGGUGGAGUCAUCUAGCUCAGCAGCAGCCUGGAGCCCGCAGCAGCACUGGGCACAAAGCAUGGCACCCAUACCUCAGGUGAGAGCAGGGAUGUCUUCACACAGCACAAGUGGUGCAAAACCAUCAGAAGGAGCCUUUGCAGCUUGGGGGUAAAGGCUGGAAAAAAAUCACUCCUCUCUAAACAGAGCUCCAGGGACUUG